rnacentral:lncRNA from 1 species
AGAAAAACUAGAAGAAAAGAAAUUGGCUGUAAAAAGAUUAUAAUCAGAGUCCAGCAGAUUAAAAUCAAAAGUGGCACGCUUACAAUUUGACGCAAAAGAAAACGAGCAAUGUGAAGGAUGUCAUGAACUGUCAGACAAGUUGAAAAAUAUUUUGGAGGAAAAUAAAAAGCUGAGAGAGGUUAAUGCUAAUUUGAUCGAUAGAAUUAAAGAACUUGAAGGUGAUUCUGUUCAGCUUUGUGAUCAAACAGGGGCUUAUUUGCCAAAGGUUAACAAGUGUGUCUGGGACAUUUUAGACUGUAAUGUGGCACAUAGUCAGGUUGCUCCUGUGAUGAAGGCAACAUUUCAGUUAUGUAACAAAACUUGCAACUCAUUGCCCUGUGAAUCCACUGUACGAAAUAUGGACAAGCAAAGACUCCUUGUUGCUCAAAAGCAACUUUGUGAUAUUCAAGACAAAAUGAACACUAGUUUACAAACAGAAUACGGAGAAAAAUAUUGUGCAUAUGUCUUGGAUGAUGAGGAGAAAAACUCGUAUCUGCUGGGUAUGCGACAUAUGUCAGACAAGUCAGCAUUGACAACUCUGGAGACCUUUCAGGAAAUACUUGAAGAUUUAAAUUAUUCCUGCACAUUGGCUGAAAAAAGUGAAAAAUCUGAGGCUCCAGGUCACAAGCUUUUAUGCAACAUUGCUUCAACAAUGUCUGAUAGGGCAGCCACGGAAGUCAAGUUUAACAUAUUGCUUGAAGAAUACAGGAAGGAAUUUUUGCCCCUCUACAAGGGGGAUGCAUUUAAUGACCUAACAGAGGCAGACAAGGCAAGUGCAUCAAAACUGCAUAACUUUUUUUGUGGUCUACAUCUCCUUGUUGGGAUGGCUGAUACAGCAUCUGCCGCAUUGUUGGCUCAUGAGCAGCUGCACUUCUCUUCAGAGGAAGAUUUGGAUGAUGAAAAUGAAAAAAAUCAUGGGGAAAGUGGAACAAUCAGAUUAGUACGAACUGUGUGCAAGGUCCUAU